rnacentral:lncRNA from 1 species
UUACCUUUGGAGUUAUUUUUAUAUUCCUAUAUUUCCUUUUUUACUCAAUUGAUCUCUUAUUUCUUUUCUUCUUUUUUUUUCCACUUAACCAGAAGCCUUUUCUUCAUUUAGUUUUCUUAAAAUCAUAUCUAUAAUUCUAUAGUUCCUUUCUACGUAAUUUACCUAGCUUAUCAUUUAUAUUCAUUCUCUAUCAUUUCUUUUCAUUUCUUUUUAUUAUUAUUCCUAUCACAACUAUCUCAUACAAAUCACGAC